rnacentral:rRNA from 1 species
GACGAACGCUGGCGGCGUGCCUAAUACAUGCAAGUAGAACGCUGAAGAGAGGAGCUUGCUCUUCUUGGAUGAGUUGCGAACGGGUGAGUAACGCGUAGGUAACCUGCCUUGUAGCGGGGGAUAACUAUUGGAAACGAUAGCUAAUACCGCAUAACAAUGGAUGACACAUGUCAUUUAUUUGAAAGGGGCAAUUGCUCCACUACAAGAUGGACCUGCGUUGUAUUAGCUAGUAGGUGAGGUAAUGGCUCACCUAGGCGACGAUACAUAGCCGACCUGGGAGGGUGAUCGGCCACACUGGGACUGAGACACGGCCCAGACUCCUACGGGAGGCAGCAGUAGGGAAUCUUCGGCAAUGGGGGCAACCCUGACCGAGCAACGCCGCGUGAGUGAAGAAGGUUUUCGGAUCGUAAAGCUCUGUUGUAAGUCAAGAACGGGUGUGAGAGUGGAAAGUUCACACUGUGACGGUAGCUUACCAGAAAGGGACGGCUAACUACGUGCCAGCAGCCGCGGUAAUACGUAGGUCCCGAGCGUUGUCCGGAUUUAUUGGGCGUAAAGCGAGCGCAGGCGGUUUGAUAAGUCUGAAGUUAAAGGCUGUGGCUCAACCAUAGUUCGCUUUGGAAACUGUCAAACUUGAGUGCAGAAGGGGAGAGUGGAAUUCCAUGUGUAGCGGUGAAAUGCGUAGAUAUAUGGAGGAACACCGGUGGCGAAAGCGGCUCUCUGGCCUGUAACUGACGCUGAGGCUCGAAAGCGUGGGGAGCGAACAGGAUUAGAUACCCUGGUAGUCCACGCCGUAAACGAUGAGUGCUAGGUGUUGGAUCCUUUCCGGGAUUCAGUGCCGCAGCUAACGCAUUAAGCACUCCGCCUGGGGAGUACGACCGCAAGGUUGAAACUCAAAGGAAUUGACGGGGGCCCGCACAAGCGGUGGAGCAUGUGGUUUAAUUCGAAGCGACGCGAAGAACCUUACCAGGUCUUGACAUCCCGAUGCUAUUUCUAGAGAUAGAAAGUUACUUCGGUACAUCGGUGACAGGUGGUGCAUGGUUGUCGUCAGCUCGUGUCGUGAGAUGUUGGGUUAAGUCCCGCAACGAGCGCAACCCCUAUUGUUAGUUGCCAUCAUUCAGUUGGGCACUCUAGCGAGACUGCCGGUAAUAAACCGGAGGAAGGUGGGGAUGACGUCAAAUCAUCAUGCCCCUUAUGACCUGGGCUACACACGUGCUACAAUGGUUGGUACAACGAGUUGCGAGUCGGUGACGGCGAGCUAAUCUCUUAAAGCCAAUCUCAGUUCGGAUUGUAGGCUGCAACUCGCCUACAUGAAGUCGGAAUCGCUAGUAAUCGCGGAUCAGCACGCCGCGGUGAAUACGUUCCCGGGCCU